UACGUAGGGCGCAAGCGUUAUCCGGAAUUAUUGGGCGUAAAGGGCUCGUAGGCGGUCUGUCGCGUCGGGAGUGAAAACUCAGGGCUUAACCCUGAGCCUGCUUCCGAUACGGGCAGACUAGAGGUAUGCAGGGGAGAACGGAAUUCCUGGUGUAGCGGUGGAAUGCGCAGAUAUCAGGAGGAACACCGGUGGCGAAGGCGGUUCUCUGGGCAUUACCUGACGCUGAGGAGCGAAAGCGUGGGGAGCAAACAGG
rnacentral:rRNA from 1 species